GACGAACGCUGGCGGCGUGCUUAACACAUGCAAGUCGAACGAAGUGGCGGACGGGUGAGUAACGCGUAAUCAACCUGCCCUUCAGGGGGGGACAACAGUUGGAAACGACUGCUAAUACCGCAUACGGAAGGAGGGGAUGGCGGCGGAUUAGCUAGUUGGAGGGGUAACGGCCAACCAAGGCGAUGAUCAGUCGCUGGUCUGAGAGGAUGAACGGCCACAGUGGGACUGAGACACGGCCCAGACGCCUACGGGAGGCAGCAGUGGGGAAUCUUCCGCAAUGGACGAAAGUCUGACGGAGCAACGCCGCGUGAGUGAUGACGGUCUUCGGGUUGUAAAGCUCUGUUAAUCGGGACGCGGUACCGGAAUAGAAAGCCACGGCUAACUACGUGCCAGCCGCCGCGGUAAUAC
rnacentral:rRNA from 1 species